rnacentral:rRNA from 1 species
UACGUAGGGGCCUAGCGUUGUCCGGAUUUAUUGGGCGUAAAGAGCUCGUAGGCGGCUUGGUUAGUCAGGUGUGAAAUCUCCACGCUCAACGUGGAGGGCCACCUGAUACUGCCAUGGCUUGAGUCCGGUAGGGGAGUGUGGAAUUCCCGGUGUAGCGGUGAAAUGCGUGGAUAUCGAGAAGAACACUUAGGGCGUAGGCAAGACUCUGGACAAAUGCUGACGCUCAUGCACGAAGGCUAGGGUAGCGAACGGG